UACGAAGGGGGCUAGCGUUGUUCGGAAUUACUGGGCGUAAAGCGCGCGCAGGCGGUUUUUCAAGUCAGUGGUGAAAGCCCGGAGCUCAACUCCGGAAAUGCCAUUGAAACUGUAAAACUUGAGGACGAGAGAGGUGAGUGGAAUUCCCAGUGUAGAGGUGAAAUUCGUAGAUAUUGGGAAGAACACCGGUGGCGAAGGCGGCCAUCUGGACCGCAACUGACGCUGAGGCGCGAAAGCGUGGGGAG
rnacentral:rRNA from 1 species